rnacentral:lncRNA from 1 species
GAUAUUAGGAGUAUUGUCGACAAGACUGCACAGUUUGUGGCGAAGAAUGGUCCAGAAUUUGAGAAGAGGAUUGUUCUAAAUAACGCUGGCAAUGCAAAAUUUAACUUCCUGAGUGCUUCUGAUCCUUACCAUGCCUAUUAUCGGCACCGUUUGGCUGAAGCUCGUGCACAGAAUCUGGCUUUCUGAUCCUUACCAUGCCUAUUAUCAGCACCGAUUGGCUGAAGCUCGUGCACAGAAUCGGGCUUCUGGAGAGCAGCCUACUCAAACAGCAGACCAAGAAGCAGCCCCUGCUCCUCCUACCGCUGAUGGUGCUGAGGCAACUGCUAGG